rnacentral:rRNA from 1 species
AUCUUCGGCAAUGGGGGCAACCCUGACCGAGCAACGCCGCGUGAGUGAAGAAGGUUUUCGGAUCGUAAAACUCUGUUGUUAGAGAAGAACGUUAAGUAGAGUGGAAAAUUACUUAAGUGACGGUAUCUAACCAGAAAGGGACGGCUAACUACGUGCCAGCAGCCGCGGUAAUACGUAGGUCCCAAGCGUUGUCCGGAUUUAUUGGGCGUAAAGCGAGCGCAGGUGGUUUGUUAAGUCUGAUGUAAAAGGCAGUGGCUCAACCAUUGUGUGCAUUGGAAACUGGGAGACUUGAGUGCAGGAGAGGAGAGUGGAAUUCCAUGUGUAGCGGUGAAAUGCGUAGAUAUAUGGAGGAACACCGGAGGCGAAAGCGGCUCUCUGGCCUGUAACUGACACUGAGGCUCGAAAGCGUGGGAAGCAAACAG